CGUGACGGCGCGAGCAGGUGCGAAAGCAGGUCAUAGUGAUCCGGUGGUUCUGAAUGGAAGGGCCAUCGCUCAACGGAUAAAAGGUACUCCGGGGAUAACAGGCUGAUACCGCCCAAGAGUUCAUAUCGACGGCGGUGUUUGGCACCUCGAUGUCGGCUCAUCACAUCCUGGGGCUGAAGUAGGUCCCAAGGGUAUGGCUGUUCGCCAUUUAAAGUGGUACGCGAGCUGGGUUUAGAACGUCGUGAGACAGUUCGGUCCCUAUCUGCCGUGGGCGCUGGAGAACUGAGGGGGGCUGCUCCUAGUACGAGAGGACCGGAGUGGACGCAUCACUGGUGUUCGGGUUGUCAUGCCAAUGGCACUGCCCGGUAGCUAAAUGCGGAAGAGAUAAGUGCUGAAAGCAUCUAAGCACGAAACUUGCCCCGAGAUGAGUUCUCCCUGACUCCUUGAGAGUCCUGAAGGAACGUUGAAGACGACGACGUUGAUAGGCCGGGUGUGUAAGCGCAGCGAUGCGUUGAGCUAACCGGUACUAAUGAACCGUGAGG
rnacentral:rRNA from 1 species